CUAGGACAAGCAACCCUUGCUUUCCAUUUCUCUCUUACCUUCCUUUCUAUUUUUUUUUCUCUCUUUUUCUCAUCCUUUUCUUUGAAUAUUUUUUAUCUUUUCUUCCUCAUUCUCAUGCCCAACAACUAGAGAUAAAACCCUUGCUUUAUCACAUAAGAGACGUCCCUUUUAUAAGAUAUAAAAGGGCACAUCCAAGGGAUGCCAACUAUUAGCGUCACUUGGUUUUUCUCCAG
rnacentral:lncRNA from 1 species